rfam:Gossypium hirsutum cultivar TM-1 unplaced genomic scaffold scaffold587.1, whole genome shotgun sequence
AGAGCAAAAUUUCAUCCAAUUCUACGGUUAAAAAUUGCCUUGGCUGACAGAAUAGCCAAACGAUUACACGUGAUGUGCCACGUAUACCUCAUUUUGACAUACGGAGACCUAUUUUUAAUAGUAGAAAUGAAUAAAAUUCUUAACA